UACGUAGGGUGCGAGCGUUGCCCGGAUUUAUUGGCGUAAAGGGCGCGCAGGCGGUACGGCACGUCCGUUGUGAAAUCGCUCGGCUCAACUGGGCGGGGUCAGCGGAUACGGUCGUACUUGAGCAAGCUAGGGGGCAAUGGAAUUCCCGGUGUAGUGGUGGAAUGCGUAGAUAUUGGGAAGAACACCGGUGGCGAAGGCGGUUAGCUGGGCAGUUGCUGACACUGAGGCGCGACAGCGUGGGGAGCAAACAGGG
rnacentral:rRNA from 1 species